CUGCACACACACACACACACACACAAGACUUCCCAGCUGCCCUGUAAUAAAAUUCUCUUCUAUUUAUACUUUUCUUAGGAACCUCCAGGCCUGUGUCGACGUGCCGCAAGCAAAGAGCAUUGGGUUUUGUGUUCUGUGGGUGGGGAAGAAAGUUUUGAUUCCUCUAAUGAAAUAAAUUGGUAUAUAGCUAGCUGUUGUAUGUGUACAUGUAUAAUAAUCAGCAUCACGUCCAUAAUGAAGCGUUUAAAAGGAAACCUGCUCUGGGAUGGAGUAAAAUGUUCCUCCAUCUGGACUUCUGCCCAACACUGUUUACAAUGAUCUCUUCUCACGAGCCAGUGGGAGUUUGGCUUUUGACCUUUGCACAAAUUGCAGCCGGUGACUAAACCUGGCUUUUCAUAGCCAUGGAGAGAGGGCUACAAAUAAAGUGACAACUAACAGGAAGAUGGCACUUCCUUUUGAGAUUAGACGUCUGCGGUUUGCAGCCCACUCUCUGUAGCUGCCAGGACAGAGUGGGCGAAUGCUUCCGUCAUGGGUCAUCCAAAACCCAGCUUUCUCACACUUCUCCAACACCCCCCCAGCCCCCCUUCCUCAUUCUUUCAUUCUUUCCCUUUCUGUCUUGCUAAUUUUAGUCACCACUGACCAUAUCCUGUCUGAUUUGUGGACAAACCUGCGUUGUGUUACACAGUGUGCCAGCGUCAUGGCACCAAGUUUUUUGAUAGGAUUCAGAGCUGGACCCUGACUGGGCCUUUCCUAAUCACUGAUCAUCUUCACCUGAAGCUGUUGAAGAUGGAUUUGCGCUGUGAAGGUUUCUUCAUCUUCAGCGGUCUAACAGAGAUCAUAAGAUUUUGUGUUAAAAUAAAACUGGCAUUCAGAGCUAUUGAUGUUUCCAACCAACUCGACCAGAGCGGCAGC